AGAGUUUGAUCAUGGCUCAGGAUGAACGCUGGCGGCGUGCCUAACACAUGCAAGUCGAGCGAUCUUCUUCGGAAGAGAGCGGCGGACGGGUGAGUAACGCGUGGGUAACCUGCCUCAUACACAUGGAUAACAUACCGAAAGGUAUGCUAAUACAAGAUGAUAUAAGAGAUUCGCAUGGAUUUUUUAUCAAAGCUCCGGCGGUAUGAGAUGGACCCGCGUCUGAUUAGCUAGUUGGUAAGGUAACGGCUUACCAAGGCGACGAUCAGUAGCCGACCUGAGAGGGUGAUCGGCCACAUUGGAACUGAGACACGGUCCAAACUCCUACGGGAGGCAGCAGUGGGGAAUAUUGCACAAUGGGCGAAAGCCCGAUGCAGCAACGCCGCGUGAGCGAUGAAGGCCUUCGGGUCGUAAAGCUCUGUCCUCAAGGAAGAUAAUGACGGUACUUGAGGAGGAAGCCCCGGCUAACUACGUGCCAGCAGCCGCGGUAAUACGUAGGGGGCUAGCGUUAUCCGGAUUUACUGGGCGUAAAGGGUGCGUAGGUGGUUUCUUAAGUCAGGAGUGAAAGGCUACGGCUCAACCGUAGUAAGCUCUUGAAACUGGGAAACUUGAGUGCAGGAGAGGAAAGUGGAAUUCCUAGUGUAGCGGUGAAAUGCGUAGAUAUUAGGAGGAACACCAGUAGCGAAGGCGGCUUUCUGGACUGUAACUGACACUGAGGCACGAAAGCGUGGGGAGCAAACAGGAUUAGAUACCCUGGUAGUCCACGCCGUAAACGAUGAGUACUAGGUGUCGGGGGUUACCCCCCUCGGUGCCGCAGCUAACGCAUUAAGUACUCCGCCUGGGGAGUACGCUCGCAAGAGUGAAACUCAAAGGAAUUGACGG
rnacentral:rRNA from 1 species